AUACCCUAUUAUUUUUAAUGUAAAGUAAACUAAAGCUGGAGUAAUAUUAGGUAUGUUCUUGAAACUUAAAGAAUUUGGCGGUAUUAUAGUCUAUUUAGAGGAAUCUGUUAUGUAAUCGAUAAUCCACGUUGAACCUUACUUAUAUUAUUUCUUGUAUAUCGCUGUCUGGGGAAUAUACUAUAAGGUUAUUUUCAGGAUAUAUUAUUAAUUAAUAUUUCAAGUCAAGGUGCAGUAAUGUAUAAGUUGAGUAAUGGAUUACAAUAAAUUAUAAUUAUAUGGAUAAAUUUUUAAAGGAAUUUUGAAGGUGGAUUUAACAGUAAUUUUGGAAAAGAUUAUUAAAAUGAUAUAUAGCUCUAUAAUAUGCACACAUCGCCC
rnacentral:rRNA from 1 species